rnacentral:rRNA from 1 species
CAACCACGGUAGGGUCAGCGACUGGGGUGAAGUCGUAACAAGGUAGCCGUAGGGGAACCUGCGGCUGGAUCACCUCCUUUCUAAGG